GUUCGAGCGUCAUUGCAACCCUCAAGCACUGCUUGGUAUUGAGCACAGCUACAUAGCUGUGCUUUAAAGACAGUGGCGGCACCGACCACCUCCUAGCACAGUAAAAUAUUCUGCUCUGGAGCGUGGCCUGGCUGCUUGCCAGCAACCCCAAAUUUUAAAAGGUUGACCUCGGAUCAGGUAGGGAUACCCGCUGAACUUAA
rnacentral:misc_RNA from 1 species